UCGGACCAAUAGAGGGAGAGAUUAAAUGUCCAGCAAACGACGGCAAUGUUGCCAGAUUCCUUUUAGCGGGAAUUUUAAAAUUUUAUAGCAGUUUGGUUUUAAAUUUGACAGUUCUGUUUUCUCAAGUCAAAAAUCUUAACCUUACUUUUACAAGUGAUUAAGAUUAUUUUAUUUACAUGUAAAUUGAAACAAUAAAUAUUGUGCUUUGUCAUAAUUUAAAACUCAUUAUGUUGAAGUCUUUUCCAGUUGAUAAAAUUGCAAUUCAAAAACUUUUAGGUAGAUUUGUACUGUAUGGAUGGCACAGGAAGAGAACAAGAGUACAAGAACAUGAAACAUCUUAUUAUGAAUGUAUAUGUAUGUGAUCCUCAAAAAAUUAUUUUUCAAAACAAGAUAGAGAAUGAGCUUUAAAAUCCCAAGGAUCCUGCAAAUUGUCUAUUUGGUGUACUGGUAUACUAGAAUAAUAGUAUCUAAAAAUAAUGAAACUGUUUUAAAACACAUUAUGGGCAUGAGGAUGAUAUAGAGCACUUACAUAAAUACCAAAAUCAGAUAAAUAUCUCUUCAAAGUUUAUUUUGAGACUUUCUUCAAAAAUUAAACUUCAGACUGUCCAGGAUAGCAUAAUAGCAUAGGAGGCAAAUUAAAAAGAAUUAAUUUACUUACAAGAAGAGAUAUCACAAACAUUAAACUCUCUUAUGGCAUUGAUUUGAAAGAUGGGUAUAUGUACAAUGAUGAUGCAACCAGUGUUUAUUUUUGGGUUGAAUGCUUACAGAUUAUUUAUUUUUUCCAAUAUUAUUUUACAAACAACAGGGCAUACUAAUGGAUAUUCAUUCUGAAUUUAACAUUUA